UAAGAUGUUUCUUAUAUGGCAAGCAAGAGAAAUUUAAUUUGCUUAGUGUAACUGGUUUGUACUAGCAAUGAGUUGAACUUAAUUCUACUGAAGUCUAUUAGUCCUCUUUACUUUUCUUUUCUUUUCUUUUCUUAUCAGACUUUCUAGCAUUGCUAUAAAUAAAUAUUGCUAAAAGAAAAUAGUCAACAUUUUUGCAUUAAAGUUUGCAAGUCUUUCACCGCAAAACAGUAUCGGUCUACAUGAAGGUCUAGAUGGGAAAAUCUAGACCGCUUUCAAGAUCGAUUUCAGUCAAUCAAAUUCUUGAGUUCGGUAGUUCCCAGUCCUUGUGAGACACAGCCAUAUAAUGUCAUAUAUUUACUAGCCAAUCGCUGAGCUUAUGUGCACUAUUUGCAAAACGAAGUUGUAGCGGUCUUUUCGUGGAUGGCAUCCGAGGCGAAUUUAAAUGAUUUUAAGAGCUUCUGGAGAUGGUUUUUUAAGAAGAACGACAAUCCGAAAGGUUUUCCAAAUGAUUUGUAAAAAGUCUGGACAGCCACUGCGAAAAUAGAACUGAUAACUGAGGAUAGAACUUGUUAUAGAUCAAGCCAAGACCUUUCUCUCUACAUUGAAAUCACUUAGCAGAGUGGGUUUAAAUUUUUUUUCAGAAAGCAUCUGUUAUAUCCUUUCAAAUGAGAUAUUGCAUUCUUCAUUGCUGUAAAGAUUUGUGGAGACACUAAAUAAAACUUGUGAUAUUGUCAA